UUUACGCGAUUGGUUCGGUUCGCGCUUUGGCGGGUGAAUUUGAGCUAUAUUUUGUUUUUAAUUUACUUGCUUCUAAACCGCGCAAAAUGGUCCGUAGCCCUGCGAGGUUGAAACAGAGCAAAUGGUCCUAUUUAAGGAGAAGACCUAGACUGUAUAGCAAGCCAACACAACGUUCUUUCACAGUUACUUGGCAAGACAGUACGCCUAAUAACACUGAAGCUGGCAAAGGCUCCUCCUGCAGUGUCUCAAGUGCUGAAACUGUGCCUACAAGAAGCCCUGUUAAUGACCCUCAUGCAAGCCUUUUGGCACAGUCAAAACCAGACUUGCUUCGCAUGUCUCCAAGUUUGGCACUCGAUGCAGUCCCUCCAUCAUUCUCCACAUCAUCCUCUGACAGAGAGGAGGUUAUUCAACACACAUUGGAAGCAGUGAGAAGUGGAUGUGAGAGUGAGCUAGAAGAAGACCCAAUUCCACGUUCUGUGCUAAAAUUGGGACCCUUGCCGUCAUCUGGGAAGGCCUUAUCUGAGCUGUUACCCAACUUGCAGCCUUGCAAGUCUAUUGGACUCUUCAAGGAACUGUGCACUGAUGACGAACACUCACUUAUAAGUGAAGGCUCAAGAGAGGUUCAGCUAGUAAAGAGGCCACUGCUAAAUAUAAUUGCUGAGCGACAACCAUUAGAGAAUGAAAAUCUGGCUGCAAAGGGAACAUCAAGCUCUUUUGGAAAAGAGCGAUCAAGAAAGAAACUAGACUUUGAAGGUGACACAAAUGGUGUAGCUGUAUCGACUUUUGGGAGGCAACAUGGAACAGUUUCUACAAAUGAGAGUGCAAAUCUUCAUGGGAAAGAAGAAAGGUCUGCUGAAAAAGAAUCGAAGAGCAGGCACUCCAAGAUACAUCAUGUGGAAGUUCCAAAACGCAGCUCACUUGAGAAUGAAGGCGCAGCAUCAGCUAAAAAGCGUAUGUCAGAUGUUGCAUCCAUGUCGAAGGAUCACAGCACACCUGUCACUCAGAAGAUCCAAAUCAAAGAAAGAUCAGUAUACACCUAUGAAAUGGAAAGUCAAAAACACAACUUAUUUGGAAAUCAGCGAGUUGUGGCUGCCAGAAAGCGCAUACCAGAUCUUGCAGCAUUCAGACCACGAUCUCACAGUACACCUAUCGCUCCUUUGAGACAUGUUACUUCAAAUGAAGAUCCUAGUAUUCCAAAGGACCUUGGCCCUAUGUUGUUAUCGAGAAUAGUUAAAAGAGCUGCACUGAAAUUGGAAGCGCAGCCUGUCUCUUCUGACAUCUUUCAUGCUGCCAGAAAUGCACCGCAUAUGAGUUUUAUUUCCCCAAGCACAGCAGCUCAAAAUCAACAGCACAGGAGAGCUUCUUCGCACUCAUUAACAAAACAGAGGCAACAUAUAACACAUCAAGAUAACAUUGCUUCUGGAGGAGCUCACAAAAACAAUGAAUCAUCUACUGGCAAGGCAUGCAAAUUUAUUUUGGGAGAGCAGCAAGAUGUUUGUAUUCGCAGACGUCAAGACUCUGAUGGUGCAAAACAGUUGUCUUUGUCAAAGCAUAACCAGUGCCAAGACUGCGCUGAAGAUAUGCAAGCCAGUAAAAAACGCCUUGAGCGACAUGUGUCCUUCUUUGAUGAUCAAAGAAGGCAUUCGGAACGUACUGUCAUCAACAAUGACGUGCAGAGUGAAGCAGAGUCUCCAGUCAUACCUAAGCUUCAGGAAAGCAGUCGUACAAGGAAAGGCAAAGUGGAUGUAUGCAGUGAAAGAGAGCGUGAAGUGCUCGUAUUAAAGCUUCUGAAAAGUGGUCAAACAAAGAGCAGUAGGGAUGCACAGUGUGGAACAGAGUCACCAGUCAUGUUCAAGCUUCAGGAAAGUGUUCAAGCGAAGAAGCCCAGAAUUGACGCACACGACCUACCAAAGUCUCCAGCCAUAGCCAAGCUUCAAGAACAUGCCCAAAGGAAGAAGCGCAAAAAAGCCAAGGUUUGGGUUCGGGUUCAACUAUAUGACCACCCUAAUGGACAGCGUGCAAAAUCUGACGUGAACAUGUAUGACAUCUAUCUUUCACUUGCACUUGAAAUAAUUGAAGAGAAAAGUAUCACACCUCACUGCAACUCUUUCUCUGCUUCAACGACAGAAGUGUCAAUCAGAGAAAGAAAAAAAAGUUAUGAAAUGGUUUUAUAAAGAAGUUGCCAAGGAUGCCACUGAAAUUAUUGAUGAUGUCCAGAUGUAUACCAAUGAGCUCUUCGAACUGGAAAAGGAAAUGCGGAAAAUGAGAGCUUUGAUGAAGAAACUUUACAACAUUGGCCUUGAAGUGCAAGAGUAUGUUAAGGAAAACAACAUCCAAGGUGUGGACCCAUUUCAGUUUUAUUUCCAAGAGGAACUUUAUGCA
rnacentral:misc_RNA from 1 species